UGCGGCCUAUCAGCUUGUUGGUGAGGUAAAGGCUCACCAAGGCGACGACGGGUAGCCGGCCUGAGAGGGUGACCGGCCACACUGGGACUGAGACACGGCCCAGACUCCUACGGGAGGCAGCAGUGGGGAAUAUUGCACAAUGGACGAAAGUCUGAUGCAGCAACGCCGCGUGAGGGACGAAGGCCUUCGGGUUGUAAACCUCUUUUAGCAGGGAAGAAGCGAAAGUGACGGUACCUGCAGAAAAAGCACCGGCUAACUACGUGCCAGCAGCCGCGGUAAUACGUAGGGUGCAAGCGUUGUCCGGAAUUAUUGGGCGUAAAGAGCUCGUAGGCGGUUUGUCGCGUCUGCUGUGAAAUUUCGAGGCUCAACCUCG
rnacentral:rRNA from 1 species